CCUGGCGACCAAAGAGCUUUGGAACCACCUGACUCCAUCCCGAACUCAGCAGUGAAACGAAGCAUCGCCGAUGGUAGUGUGGGGCCUCCCCAUGUGAGAGUAGGUCAUCGCCAGGC
rfam:Endozoicomonas sp. S-B4-1T isolate SB41TT1 genome assembly, contig: SB41TT_contig_8